CUCAUACUCGUAGAUUCCAUUAUCGGUAGUUUCAUCUAUUGUGGGUGGCAUUUUCAUAGCCUAAAAGGAGUAUAAGGUCAAUUUUGUAAAAUAUGGAACAAGGCGGCUGGAAAUGGAAAAUAGCAAAUCCCGCUAGUUGAGGAAAACAGCCACAAUGGGCAAUGUUGCUUGCACGGUUUCAAUGCCAAAUGGAAAUACGACUGCUGUUGGUCCUUGUUUAAUCCAUAGCAGCUGCAAAAGAUCGACAACAUGGGGUUGCUUUCACUUUUGAUUGGGCCUCAAAAAUGAUUAAUAUGGAGGUUUGGUUUGACUGAAGAUAAUUUUUUCUCGUUAAAGUAUUCAAUUUUUCUUUAUACCAAUCGCCUAAAAUCUGAUUGAAACCUAAUAUUAUACAGUAGUCAUACCAAUGAUUUCCCAUUGAGGAAAUUUGGAAUUUUUCGAUAAAACUUCAUUUGAGUUAAAGAUAAUUUUUUUCUGUAUUUGUGUUCAGACUUCGAAAAACGUAUGCUAAACAGCGGCUAUGCAAAGCGUUUCCAUCCAAUUUUAAAUAAAAUACACAUUUAAUUCAAAAAAUUUGCUUAUUUUAUUUUUAUUACAAAUGGACAAUUGUUAAUAUACUAUUUCUAUAACGCAUAUACAUUUAACGGCGUACAAAUGAAAUAAUUCAAGAAACAAUAUAUUCAAUCGGUUACAAAAACAAUAUAUGUAUUCAAUCGGCGACAGAAACCAAGAUAUACAAACGAAA